GAAAAGCGUGCCGUCUAUCUGUUGAUCGCCGCUAGUCCCGGAAGGUGGUGGUAGCUGGCAGUCAGUAGAGGGCAAUAGAGAAAUACGGUUCGUGGUACCUAAAGGAUUUGAAGCAGUGAUUAUGUGUUUACAAAGAAAAAAAAAAAAAAAAAAAAAAAAAAAAGGAAAAAAAAAAAGAAAAAAAAAAAAAGGAAAAGAAGAAAAGAAGAGCCGGGAGGAUAGGUUGUUCAGUUUACUACUGGAGACCUGACUGUGACUGAGCGUCGGGAAAACAUUUUUAAGGGAGGAAGGAAUUGCUGCGGCAGCAUCUCCGAGUCUCUCUCCUUUUUCUCCUCUGAGUUACAUAGGAUAACUUGGCCAGAACUUACUGAUGACUGCACGGCCAGCGGAGCCGGGAAUGGGAAAUGCAGGAAGGCGCUCUUUGGCAGGAGCAGAAGAGGAGGCAUUUCAAAGAUCCUGCAGGUGACCGAGGUGGUGAUCUGCUGCUAGAAUAAAUAAAUUUCAGGAAGUGCCAAGGCUGCUCAGCCAUUUACUGUGAUAUCACUUCUACAUAAGGAACUUACCAACUUUCUCCAAUUAUCUCCUCUAUUACGAUCCAGGCUUGUCUGCCUCCCUCAUCCACAUACUCAUUAAAAUCAUCAGAACUAAGGGUGUGAGAAGGAUGGGGCCUCAAGUGUCCAACAGUGAAAAGAUGGUGGUGCACGUCUCAAAAGCAAGACAGGUCAGAUUUCAGACGAAGUAGGGAAAACUGCUGAAGCAACACAGGCAUCCAACACCAGUCCCACCAAGGUAGGUGUGAAACUAUCUCAUCGCUGAGAUUCCUCUCUCUCAUUGCUGAGGAUGCAGCUUCAACCGCAACACAUCCCAUCUUUGAUUAUCGAGAUUAUGGAGCUGCUUGUAUCUUUCUAUGACGGAUCUAGUGCUGACACCCUUAAAUACAGGUUUUCAGCACUACUAAGAACAGGAGCUCCCAGCAACAUCAUUUUGGACAUCCAUGCACAUGAAAAGAAUGUGGUGAAGCAGCCCUGGGGAGGGAGGAGAAUGGAGAAGACCUGCCCAGUGUUCCACCAGUUUCCCGUGCAGGUAAAUUCCUCAUUUUGAGAGGAGUCAAUGGUCUCUGUGUCCACACAGAUCACAAUGUAGGCUCAUGGUUUAAUUAUCCUGGAAAAAUAUGGAGGUUUCCUCCUGUUGGGCAUUUCCAUGCUCUCUUUCUCCAGCACACAGACUGAACUCAGGAAGCCUUUUCCACUAGUUAUGUGACAGCCUGCUGCUAAUGGGGCACUGGUGAUGUGGAUGAUGAAAUGUCCAAACUCUGGCUGUCCACCAUCUCGUGCUGCAUCCUCUCUGAAAUAAUGCUCCAGCUCUGACUUUCACUUAUUUAUAUAACCACGGGCUGACUUUUUGUCUGUUUUCUCUAAGCUGCUGUGGGUUUUGUUUCCAGUAGGCGUAUUACUUGAUUAAUGAUCUUUCUGUUAACACUUGCUCAUAUGCCAUAUGGGAUCUUCUUGGGUUAUCUAAAUGCACAAAAUACUAAAAACAACUUUUUUGUUUCUUUUCUUUCUUUCUUUCUUUCUUUUUCUCAGCUCAACUCUGUUUUUAAUAGCACAGUACCUUCUCCCCUCUGUCCUCCCCCCCUACCCCUAAAAAAAAAAAGAACAUUUUCCUAGCUUCUCCAGACUUCACACUGUUGAAUGUUACUUGUGAUUCAUGCUGUUACCUUGUGCAAUACUCCAGGAAAACAGACCAUAGACAGGCUCUGUCAGGAAGGGUUUUGUAAUGGAUGUGUCAUUUCUCUUGUAUCUAUAUUAAGGACAAAAUCCUGUGAUGGCUGAUGAAUUUGUAGACCCCAUCUUUCUGAAAUCACAUUAGCUGCUCAGAAGAGGAAGGCUGCUUUUCUUUCAGGCAAUGAUGAUAGCACUUUCCUGGAUGCGGGUCGAAAAAUAUUUACAUCAAUAUAAAUAAGCAGUGUGUAACUAUAAAUAAAGAACACAGGUAAUAAAAUGUUAUCAUUGAAGUUGAGAUUAAAAUUGAAUCCUGCCAAGCCCUAAACAUAGAUCAUGAUAGACAAAUCCAAUAUACCUUUUUUUUUUUUUUUUUUUGGUGGUGCUGUAAUUAUAGACUAGGUAAAGAAAAAAAGAUUAUACAGCAGACAUAAUUUGUAAUGAUUUCAGUAACAUUUCUGAGGUAACGCCAUGAGAAGCAAUGACUACUUGUGCAUGCUUCUCCACAAGUGUAUGUAUCCCCCCACCAAGAGAUGCACUUGGAUUUCAACCAGAGCAAUGCUGUGAGCUGGAUACCUCUGCCAUCUGAUACUGAUACAAUGCUGUUGGCUGGGUCACCUCUGCCAGGACUGUCCAUUCCCUGACCUUGCAGCUCGGUGCCCUGGCCAACAGGAGCCCCUGCUGUAAGAUCCAAAGACAAACGGAGAAGCAGUUCCCAAACCUGGAAAGAAAUCCUAUAUGACCAACAGUCAGGUGACAGCCCGCAGGACGUGUCAACAUGGUGUUGUAGCAUGGGGUUGUCCUUUGAUGGAAUGCUACCCACUGCCUAUACACCCGUCUCUAUCAUGGCGCCCAGGGAGCAGCUACCAGAUGUUCUGGGGGUUUGUUGUUGGCAAACAUCCUGCUCUCCUUAUGACCAGGGGGGAUGGGUUCCUGGGUGGGUUCCCCUCCUUUCUAGCAGGGUGUUUAUCCGUGCUGUAACUAACUGCCGGAUGGAUAUCAGCUCUUCCCAAAGUCUUCUCAAAUCUGAACAGCCGCAGCUCUCUCAGCCUGUCCUCAUAGAGGUGUUCCAUCUCUUGGAUCCUUUCUCUGGUCCUCCUCUGGACAUGUUCCAACAGGUCCACAUCUCUCAUAGGAAGCUGCCACUUCAUGGCAAGGAGCUGGUCUGAGCACUGUGUCCUCCACUGGCUGAACUAGGAAAAGGUUUGCAUCCACGGGCAGCAUGGUUUGGCAUGGAAAAGCACAGAUGGGCUCAGAAACUGUCUCCAAGCUGCUCUUGACAAGGUAGGAGGCAUUCCCUUUAAGUUAACCAGGAAUGGAGGCUCACACUGCCUCUCUGGAAAUCAAGGCUUGAGGCCAAAAGCAAUCUCUGAUAUCUCAACAGAUGAAAAUAGAGCUUAAAAAAAUAAGAACGUGUCAUGGAAUUAAAUGAGAACCACAGAUUUAGCAGGUCUGGUGACUUCCCAAGAGAAGCUGAGGAGAAACGUAGAGAAAAGGCUUGUUUUUGAGACACAGUGAAAUGAAUUACUAGUCCCUUCUGUAAAAUCUGUUAAAGUCUUGACUGCUGGACGUUUACUUUCAAUGAAGUCAGCUUCCACUGCAGUCUGCUGAAGAGCCCUAACUUGACUGUGCAGAUGCAAUUACUGAAAAUGAAUCUGUCAGAGACAUAUCACGUAAACAAGGAGUCCUGUUUUGGCUCUCCUCCUGAAGCCAUCUUUGCCUCAGGGAUAACCUCAGCCAAUGCUUCACAAACCCAGUGGGAACAAGCAGCGCAGGCACAAAGCAGACUGACUAAGAAGGUUAGUGAAACUUCAAAGUGUUAGCCAUGAGCUGGUAAUUGGUACCUGGGAGCCAGCCAUCCACAGGGAACAUCAAACAGCGUUAUUUUUGGCUCUCCACAAAAAAAUGUCAGGAUUAUUUUAUUUGGGUGCCAUUUCGGAACACCAGCAGCCCCUGACGGGCAGCACACGCCCGGUGCUUCUGCACCUUGAUGCACUUGUAGGUGUUUGUUUUGACAGGGGGUUGACAGCGUUUCAGUGCACAGUACAUCACAGGUGAUUUGUAAGGUGAGUGUGGUCUGACAGUGGGCUCCUCUGAGCCCAGCGCAGUGCACUGGUUUUCAGAGCAACAAGAUCUGUCUGCCAUUAACUAGACCUCUCUGCAAUUGUGCUGUUCUUCUCAUAAUAGAGAACUUAUUCCCCAAAAUUCAUCUUUUCUCUUUGAUCUGCGUGUGUUUCUGUAGGCAAUUACACAUUAAUAUAUCAAAGGCUAUUGACAAUGCCAAGAAAUGGGUAUGCUAAUAUUCUUGUUUAAUCAUACAUGGGUUUGGGUGUCGUUUGUUGUUUUGUUUUGUUUUAGUAAAAUUGACAGCAGGACCUUGCAGUUAGAAGCCAGGCACAGGAACACGAGGUCAAGAGAAGUCAGCUGCACGAUUCCCUUUGAUUUCUAUGAGAUGAGAGUUACAGCUGGAAUUCUGGAUUCGGUUUCCACCUCUUCUCCAUACCUUCACUGUGCUUUCAGCAAGUGCAGCCAGGUACCCAGCUGCCUAAAUUCCAUAGCCUGAAAAUUUUGCUCAAGGGACUGCUGUUCACCAGGUCUGCAGCAUAUGCUUCCUUCAGCCCUUGUUCUGCACAGCAAAAGCAAACGGGAUCCCACUGAACGCCUUCCUGCCACCUCUAACUGAAACGCUCUGCAUACUUUUGCUCCCCAAAGUUUGUAUGGCUCAAAUAAAAUUGCUUACUUGAAAGUUAAGGUUUGUCAAUGAUUUCUGACUUUUUUUUUAAAGAAGGUAGUGGUGUUUGUUUCUUUUCCUUCUCCAUGAUCAUUCAAGUGUUGGUAAGGGGCAAACUUUGAGCACAAGUUUUAUAUUUCUCAGGAAAUGAAUGUAUUUCCCUUGCUUUUCUAAAAUAUCAUACUUUCAACUUUGAGUUAUUUAUCCAAAUAUUUCUAUUCCCCGCUGUAUUCUGAACGUUUGAUCUAUGUGAGGCAAUGCUCUGUUUAACCUUGCUUGUACUGAAAGCAAUAAAAUAUAAAAUGAAUAGGUGGAAAGGGAUAGUAAAUCCCCACUGAGAAAUUAUCUGGCAGUUUCUGAGUCAUGGGAAGAUAUCAACAAAGUGAAAUUUAUUUAAUAUUGAUGAAUGGGACAGUAAUGCACCUAGGGAGAAAUAACAGCAAUCAACACAGAUAUUUAGGAGACAUUAAUAUAGAAAAAGACCUUGGGGUUGAAGCGGAUAAUUAAGUGCAUAAGAGCUCACAUUGCAAAACAAGCAAUCGGUGUUCCAGAGCGUGCAGCGUCAAAAGAGAUGUGCCGUGCAGCAAAGUGAGGGAUAAGUGCGGCACAACUUAGCCUGAGUAAGACUGGAGCUGGGGUGGGGUAUGAAUUUUUCAGCCUCCUCUUUUUAAGAAGACACGGGAAAGUGGCAGAGAAGUAAAAGACGGGUAGUAGAAAUGACAAAGAGAGCUGCGGGCAUUGCGUGUGAAGGCGCGGCGGAAAGUAAUUCAUUCAGCAGGAGGGAGCAGCGCCAGCCCUCCUGUCUGUGUGCCGCACGAAUGGACUUUCCCUGCAGCAGCAAUGGUAAAAGGGUCUCAAAUUAAAAAUGGAACAACUCCAUUUAGAUACAAGAGAAAUGACUUAAUACUAAGGGCUGUUACAUGGGCAAUGGAGUAAGCUGUCUGGUGAGCAGCUGAACACAAGGCACCGUCAAUAGAAGGUUUCUGGGGUGAGACUGGAAAAAGUGCCGGUGGGAUUACUGCAGAAGAGGCUUCUCAGCAUGAGCAUGGCUAACACAAAGGUCCUUUGCUGUCAUUUUCAUCGACACUUCUGGGAUCUCAAAGGCUGUGCACAAUAAAAGAGACAAUAUGUCCAGAUUUUAAUGAAAUCCAUCUGCCACGCUCGGUGAGACUACAUGGUGACUGGGACGAGAGGUGCAGCCCUGCAAGCCUCACCUCUGUAUCCCAUCUGCUCUACAGGCUUUCACAGGAGUGGGCCCGGGAGCUGAAGAUGCUGCAGAGGUGGGUUAUAGCCAUGUGCAUUUUCAGAGAAGCUGGCACAGCUCCUGCCUAUUUUGAAACGUUUGCUUCUGGAAUUUGUGAUGCUUGAACCAGUUAAAUACUAGAUUAUCGUAAGUGUAAUUUACAUGUUUCCCAAGUAAGGGAAUGCGAGUGGAGAAGAGAAUUUCUGAAUGUUCGUAUUUCCAAAUUAAACCAGUGUAAAUGAGCCUUCUGUUCGAUUCAGUGUGUAACGCAUUAUUUCAUGGCUGUCUCCUCAAUAUUACAGGCCCCUUUUACAUCAAGCAGUGUCAUACCCCAUCCAAAUCACUGUGAGAUAAAGAUGUUCCCCUUUAAUGUAAUAAAGGAC
ensembl:lncRNA